rnacentral:piRNA from 1 species
UUUUAGGGUGACCUUGUCUUUCAUGCUGUC